UCCCUCCAAUUGUUCUUCCUUUUUUUUUUUUUUAUAAAUAUUCCGAUAAAGCUCCAUUGUUUCCGAUGAAAAUAAUAUUCCAGCAAAGUUAUUAAUUAUUUUUUCCCGACAAAAGUUCAUUUUUUUUUAUGUAAUUGUGAUAAUGAUGACUAGUGAAAGAAGAUGAAGACCAUGAAUGAAAGGUUUAAUUCCAUUAGAAUGAAC
rnacentral:lncRNA from 1 species